rnacentral:rRNA from 1 species
CCGAACUCACCGCCGUUGAAAAGUUGGGAGAUGAGAUAGGUCUAGGGGUGAAAAGCCAAUCGAACUAGGAGAUAGCUCGUUCUCUCCGAAAUGCAUUUAGGUGCAGCCUUGGUUGAAGAUAUGCGGGGGUAGAGCACUGUAUGGCCUAGGGGGCGUAUAGCUUACCGAAGUCAAGCAAACUGCGAAUACCGUAUAUUGUUUACCGGGAGUGAGUCUACGGAUGACAAGGUCCGUGGACGAGAGGGGAACAGCCCGGACCGCCAGCUAAGGUCCCAAAUUAUGUCUAAGUGGGAAAGGAGGUGGAUAUUCACAGACAACCAGGAGGUUGGCUUAGAAGCAGCCAUACCUUGAAAGAGUGCGUAAUAGCUCACUGGUCGAGAGUAUCUGCGCCGAAGAUAUAACGGGGCUAAGACAUGAACCGAAGCCGCGGAAGCGUGCUAGGCACGUUUGGUAGGAGAGCGUUCUGUAGGCCGUAGAAGGUGUCCUGAAAGGGAUGCUGGAGGUAUCAGAAGUGAGAAUGCAGGAAUGAGUAGCGAGAAGGAGGGCGAGAAUCCCUCCGGCCGGAAGUCCAAGGUUUCCAGGGGAAGGUUUGUCCGCCCUGGGGGAGUCGGGACCUAAGCAUAAGCAGAGCUGCGAAGGCGAAUGGAAAACAGGUUAAUAUUCCUGUACCGCUGUGUACUGACUGAGAGAUGGAGUGACGCAGGAAGGUAUGCGGGAAGGCUGACGGAAUAGCCUUUCUAAGGGUGAAGCGUGGACAUAUAGGCAAAUCCGUAUGUUUAAACGUGAGGCCUGACGGGUAAGUACCUUAGGGUAUAAGCCGCAGAUCCUACACUGCCGGGAAAAACUUCUAUUUAGGGAAGCAGCGCCCGUACUGUAAACCGACACAGGUGGACAGAGUGAGAAACUUAAGGCCGACAGGAUAACUCUGGCUAAGGAACUCUGCAAAAUGGCCCCGUAACUUAGGGAGAAGGGGUGCCCGUGGUACCUGAAGGGGGAGACACCCGGAGGGGAAACGGGCCGCAGUGAAGAGUCCCAAGCAACUGUUUACCAAAAACACAGGUCUAUGCUAAGCCGGAAGGCGACGUAUAUGGGCUGACACCUGCCCAGUGCCGGAAGGUUAAGAGGAGGAUUGAGAGAUCCGAAUUGAAGCCCCGGUGAACGGCGGCCGUAACUAUAACGGUCCUAAGGUAGCGAAAUUCCUUGUCGGGUAAGUUCCGACCUGCACGAAUGGUGAAAUGAUUUGGGAGCUGUCUUGGCCGGAGACCUGGUGAAGUUGUAAUGCCGGUGAAGAUACCGGUUACCUGCAGUAGGACGGAAAGACCCCGUGGAGCUUUACUGCAGCCUGGCAUUGGGUUUCGGCAAUGUGUGUAUAGGAUAGCUGGGAGGCUAUGAAGAUAUGGCGUCAGCUGUAUUGGAGCCGCUGUUGGAAUACCAGCCACGCAUUGUUGGGAUUCUAAUCUCAUAAGAUGGGAGACAGUGCUAGGUGGGCAGUUUGACUGGGGCGGUCGCCUCCAAAAGAGUAACGGAGGCGUUCAAAGGUUCCCUCAGG